rnacentral:rRNA from 1 species
AACGAACGUUGGCGGCGUGCCUAACACAUGCAAGUCGAGCGGACAGGGGCUUCGGUUCCUGUUAGCGGCGCACGGGUGAGUAACACGUGAGUAACCUGCCCUUGAGACUGGGACAACUCUUCGAAAGGGGAGCUAAUACUGGAUACGUCGGGAAACCGGGAAAGGGGCAACCCGCUCAAGGAUGGGCUCGCGUUCCAUUAGGUAGUUGGUGGGGUAAUGGCCUACCAAGCCGGAGAUGGAUAGCUGGUCUGAGAGGAUGAUCAGCCACACUGGAACUGAGACACGGUCCAGACUCCUACGGGAGGCAGCAGUGGGGAAUCUUGCGCAAUGGACGAAAGUCUGACGCAGCAACGCCGCGUGGGUGAUGAAGGCUUUCGGGUCGUAAAGCCCUGUCAGUGGGGACGAGAAAGGACGGUACCCACGAAGGAAGCACCGGCUAACUCCGUG